rnacentral:rRNA from 1 species
UACGAAGGGGGCUAGCGUUGCUCGGAAUUACUGGGCGUAAAGGGCGCGUAGGCGGAUAGUUUAGUCAGAGGUGAAAGCCCAGGGCUCAACCUUGGAACUGCCUUUGAUACUGGCUAUCUUGAGUACGGGAGAGGUGUGUGGAACUCCGAGUGAUAGAGGUGAAAUUUCGUAGAUAUUCGGAAGAACACCAGUGGCGAAGGCGACACACUGGCCCGUUACUGACGCUGAGGCGACGAAAGCGUGGGGAGCAAACAGG